rnacentral:lncRNA from 1 species
UCAUGAUAAGUUAUUUUGCAGCCACUGGUAUAUAAGCUUCACCGAAGACAUUUUGUAUCAUCUUCACUAUGCAGCCAUCCUGGGUAUGAGUAACCGAUUACGGGGAGAGUAAAGCAGAUCUGCAAGGCUAUUCCUCUCUUUACCCGAGAAUGAUGUCCUUCUGCAUAUUUUUGGUAUAUGAGCCGCCUUAUUCAAAUUCUUGCAGGCUUAGUACGCUGAAGAAAAGGUCAUGAAGAAGCUGGGGUUGGUGGAAGAGUUUCUCCUCGGUUUUUCGGACGGAUGUUACCCCAGAUGAUGUGAUGCGGGGGAUCCUUGGCGAGAUAUAUCAUAAAUCCGCCAGUCAAGUUAGGAAUUCUAUUUCAUAUAGCAUAAAUUCCAUAUCCACAGUGCUCCGUGUUUCAUUUGACUAGAUACAUAUGCAUCACGUACUCGCAAAGCGUGCUUGGCAGGAGCUUUCCAAGCGGAACAUCGGUAUGUAGAAAGCUUGAUUGUAGGAAUCCAAGGCAUUGAAUCAUUCGAUUCACAGGCCCCAUAUUCAAGUCUGCUUAACAAGUCAGUCAUUGAUGCCAAUAUGACCACGUAUGUGUACUUCACACCCUUAUUGGGUCUUUACUUUGGACGUGUUUGCAGGAGCACUCAAUUUCGUAAUCAGGCCUCUGCUCGACGUUAGCUUGCAAUUGACAAAUCCCAACCAUAGGAAUCCUGCAAGAAAACAUAUUGUGACCAAGUAUCAAUAAUUGCCCUGGCCAUUUCCCUCAUUGCCAUCUGACUAGACCAAGCCCUAGCCCUAAACUUGCCCAGCUUUUCAAUUUCUAUUUCAAUUUCAAAAAAAAAAGGCGCAACAGGCCGACUGCCCUUUGAAAUCGACGGGACAAUAGUGGAAUCUAUCUCAUAGUUAAUAAUAACCUUUGAUGACUCCAUAUGAUGCAUCUUUCUGGACCUUCCUGGCGGCCAACGUCUCGCUCGAUGAGAGUCAUUGCAGCCAGCCGGUUGAACAGCGAUGAAUUACAGUCUCUAUCUGAGACUGUCAUCGCACAAUACGUCCAUUAUGGUCACCGGAUUUUUUGAUGAGACAUGAAU